ensembl:snRNA U6 U6 spliceosomal RNA
GUGCUCACUUCAGCAGCACAUACACUAAAUUGGAACAAUACAGAAAAGGUUAAUUUGGCUCCCGUACAAGUAUGAGAUGCAAAUUUGUGAAAUGUUCCGUAUUUUA